rnacentral:tRNA from 1 species
AAGUAAGAAGCGAUAGAUUGCAUUCAGUUUCGACCUGACCUUAGAUAUAAAAUUAUCCUUACUUU